UCUGGAUCGACACGGCGCUCUGGGCGCGCAUCGAAAGCCCCCGCUCGAUCAGACUUCGUUAAUAUUUCGGGAGAUGAAGGAGAAGACACCAACAGUCAUUUUCGAUAGGCAAAUGUGGUCGGACGAGGAGUCGGAGGAAUCCAGCGAUGGUUCAGAAGAGGAGAGGAGGGGAUCGGCAAGGUUUUCAAGAGGAGGAGGUGUUCGCCGUUAACAAUCAGCAGUUGUGGCCAUUGCCAGCUCUAGCACUAAAUCAGAAUCAGAGAGCGAAGGAAGUAGAAAGAGGAAGGGACGAACAACAGGAGUGAAGAGACGAGGAGUGAGAGCAAGAGGAGCAAGAGGAGGAGAGAGAGCAAGAGGAAGAGGGAGAGCAAGAGGUGAACAGAGAGCAAGAGGAGGACGAAGAACAGAGAAAAGAGUGAAAGUAACAGAUCAAGUGCAAGAGGACGCAAGACAGAGGAAGAAAAGGGAGUUGGCGGAGACGAUGUCAGCUGUAGAUGAGUGCGUGUUCGUAGUGCUUGACCAAGCUUCAGGAGCAACACUGCUUGAAAUGGAGCUGGAUCCAACUGCUGGAGAUGAACAGUAUCAGGAAAAAAGGAAAACAUAAAAGCACGAUCAAAACAAAGUUUCUGAAACGCUGGCUUGUUUCAAAGUGUUUCCUGCAAAGGAAGCCCAUGCAGGAUGUUCUGGCUGGCUUCUACAGGAGCUGUGUUGCAGGAUCUUCUGGCGGACGGACGUUGGCGGACCAGUAACAAACUGUUGUGCGAGAAUGACAGUUUCAGCAGUCUCGUCUGUCA